AUGGCGGGGCCUGAUUGGUUUAGCUCGUUUAUGAAGCGGAACCCCAGACUUUCAGUGAGGAGUCCACAGGCAACUAGCCUUUCAAGAGCCACCAGUUUUAAUCGUGCUAAUGUGGAACUCUUCUUCAGUCGACUGGGGGAGGUGAUUGAUAAAUAUGGGUUUGAUGGCAGUGACAUAUGGAAUGUCGACGAAACCAGCGUGACAACUGUCCAGGCACCAUUCCGAGUCGUAGCACGCCGGGGUAUGAAGCAGGUUGGUGCCAUGACGUCGGGGGAGAGGGGCACACUUGUUUCAGUUGCAUAUGCUGUGCAAGCUCUAGGGAAUACCAUUCCUCCAUUCUUUGUGUUCCCUCGUAAGAAUUUUAAAGAUCACUUUGUUCAGAGCGGGCCCUUGGGGAGUGCAGGAAGUGCUAAUUCAUCAGGCUGGAUGCAGGAAGAGGAUUUCCUAUCAUUCCUCGUUCACUUUGUGAAGCAUACAAAGGUCAGUCCAGAAAGAAAGGUGUUGCUCCUGCUUGAUAACCACUCUUCCCACAUCUCUGUGAGAGCUGUGGAUUUUUGCAAAGGCCAUGGAAUUGUACUACUUACGUUCCCACCACAUUGCAGCCAUAAACUCCAACCACUAGAUCGUAGUGUGUUUGGUCCGUUUAAAAGGAUGGUGAAUUCGGCGAGCGAUGACUGGAUGAGGGGAAAUCCUGGUAAAACUAUGAGUAUUUACGAAAUUCCAGGCAUUGUGAGGAUCGCCCUGCCUACAGCCGCAACACAGAAAAACAUACAGGCGGGCUUCCAGUGUACAGGCAUAUGGCCAUACAAUUGUAAAAUUUUUCAGGACUGUGACUUUGCGCCUUCUCAAGUCACAGAUCGUCCUGAUCCAUCUGGGACUCUUCAACAGAACUCCUCUCCAUCUCACCUGCCAGCCGGCUCCUCUCCUCCUUACCUGCCGCCCGGCUCCUCUCCAGCUCACCUGUUGCCUGGCUCCUCUCCAGCUCACCUGCCACCCAGCUCCUCUCUAUCUCACCUGCCACCCGGCUCCUCUCCAGCUCACCUGCCACCCGGCUCCCCUCCAGCUCACCUGCCACCCGGCUCCUCUCCAGCUUACCUGCCGCCCGGCUCCUCUCCAGCUCACCUGCUGCCCGGCUCCUCUCCAGCUCACCUGCCACCCAGCUCCUCACCAUCUCACCUGCCACCCGGCUCCUCUCCAGCUCACCUCCCGCCCAGCUCCUCUCCAGCUCCCCUGCCGCCUGGCUCCUCUUCAGCUCAUCUGCCGCCCGGCGCCUCUCCAGCUCACCUGCCACCCGGCUCCUCUCCUCCUUACCUGCCACCCGGCUCCUCUCCAGCUCACCUACCGCCCAGCUCCUCUCCAGCUCACCUGCCACCUGGCUCCUCUCCUCCUUACCUGCCGCCCGGCUCCUCUCCAGCUGACCUGCCGCCCAGCUCCUCUCCAGCUCACCUGCCACCUGGCUCCUCUCCUCCUUACCUGCCACCCGGCUCCUCUCCAGCUCACCUACCGCCCAGCUCCUCUCCAGCUCACCUGCCGCCUGUCUCCUCUUCAGCUCAUCUGCCGCCUGGCUCCUCUUCAGCUCAUCUGUUGCCCGGCUCCUCUCCAGCUCACCUGCCACCCGGCUCCUCUCCUCCUUACCUGCCACCCGGCUCCUCUCCAGCUCACCUGCCAGCCGGCUUUUCUCCUCCUUACCUGCCGCCCGGCUCCUCUCCAGCUGACCUGCCGCCCGGCUCCUCUCCUCCUUACCUGCCGACCGGCUCCUCUCCUCCUUACCUGCCGCCCGCCUCCUCUCCAGCUCACCUGCCGCCCGUCUCCUCUUCAGCUCACCUGCCGCCCGGCUCCUCUCCAGCCACUCAUGCUUUCCAUCUGCACUCUGAUGAGAUGCCGAGCACCUCGGGGUCCAUCGUAGGUCAGUCGUUCAGUCCAUCACUCAUUAGGCCAUUUCCAAAAGCAGGCCCAAGGAAAGAGACAGGUAGGGGUAGAAGAAGAGGCGCUCGGAAAUCCUCACUGAUACACCAGUGA
ensembl:lncRNA